CUGGCGCUGGGGAAUUUCCAUGCUGUAAUUCAUUUCAGCAGGAUAAACAGAGCUCCUCCUCUGGAAGGUUUGGCCCUGAGCGAAAGGCACUUGGAAUCAACCUGGGGGGCUCCGAGGUCCCAUGUGAAACUGAGAAGGAAAACAGAAGUCAGGUGACACGAGAUGCAGCAGGCUCUGACACCGAAAGGCCACCGGACCUGAUGAAUACCUUUGUUUGCUGGGAAGAUGCCAUGGGGUCCCCGUUCCCAUCGUUGGUUUAAAAACAUUCACAACAGCUUAGCAGGAUCUUGUAAACAGCUGCUGUCCUUUGAUGCAGCGACCCAGGAAGAAAGAGCCCAGCCCUUUUGCCAGCACGGUGCUUUCUGACUGUGGCUAGGUCUCCUCAUCAGAAAGAAAUGAAGCUAUUUGUCCUUACCUCAGAGUUAUCAGGAAGAUAAAAUCAGAGAACACAUGUCACAUUGCCUUGAAAACUGUCAAAUUCUGCAGAACCACAAGAUACGAUUCUCAUCAUAUUCUCAACCAUCCUGCAGUGACAGGAUGCCAUUUUCACGUUCCUGCUAAUGUAGGGCUCCCACUGGGAAGAGAAUAAUCAAAAGAAUGCCGCUGCCUCCACUCAGGCUCUCUGGAAGGAGCCCUCUGAGCACUGAGGAAGGGCUGAGCUCUUCUCCAAGCAUCCCUCACUGCUCCCAAGAGGCUCUCUGGCCAGCGUGUUUACUAGAAGGAGGGUUGGCGAGCUCAUGCUCACAGAGGAGGCACCCUUCCAUGAGCCGCCCACCACCUGCCCGCCUCCCACACAUGUUAAUAAUAAAAGCUCUUUUCACACCUCCGCCAUCAGCAUGUACCUUUGGAGAACAGAGACGCUGCAACCCCCCAGUGCUGCCUGGCGGUCCCUCUGAACACAGCUGCACUGCCCUUCCUGCUUCUCUACUCACCCUUCCUGCCAAACGUGUUAUAAUUAAAAUAUGUUCAGUACAUUGUUA